GUGGUGAGGGGCUCCUCGCCGGUGUCAAAAAAACCCCGAAUUUCCCCCUUGCCAUCGGAGCGAAUGUAUAAAAGGACUCGUGGUUCGGUCCCCCCCUCAUCACUGCUUCAGCCGAGACGCCCAGUUCAACUAAACAGUCAUGAAGGCAGCCUUUCUGCUCGCUCUCGCCCUGCUGCUGGUUGCAACGGCGCAGGCAACGGUUGGCGUGGCCUACGGAUACGGCUCACCCUACGGCUACGGCGGCCUUGGCUACGGCGGCCUCGGCUACGGCGGCUACAGACCAUACGGCUACAGGCCUUACGGGCUAGGAUAUGGCUACAGGCCGUAUGGCAUCGGCUACGGCGGCUACAGACCGUACGGCCUCGGUUACGGCUACGGCGGCUACGUCGGCUAGCUCUGGAGCAGACGGGUCGGCUUAUAUUACGAACUGCUGGAGCCCCCACAAGGACGCCGUUUUCUGAAGGUGGAAAUAAAGCUCGAGAAAACGA